UACGAAGGGGGCUAGCGUUGCUCGGAAUCACUGGGCGUAAAGGGUGCGUAGGCGGGUCUUUAAGUCAGGGGUGAAAUCCUGGAGCUCAACUCCAGAACUGCCUUUGAUACUGAAGAUCUUGAGUUCGGGAGAGGUGAGUGGAACUGCGAGUGUAGAGGUGAAAUUCGUAGAUAUUCGCAAGAACACCAGUGGCGAAGGCGGCUCACUGGCCCGAUACUGACGCUGAGGCACGAAAGCGUGGGGAGCGAACUGG
rnacentral:rRNA from 1 species